GGCAGCGGGGAUAAGCUUGCUUAUCCGCCGGCGACCGGCGCACGGGUGCGCAACGCGUAUAGAAUCUGCCCUGUACUGGGGAAUAGCCCAGAGAAAUUUGGAUUAAUGCCCCAUGGUAUGUAUUAGCGGCAUCGCUUAUACAUUAAAGGCUACGGUACAGGAUGACUAUGCGUCCCAUUAGUUAGUUGGUAAGGUAACGGCUUACCAAGGCAGCGAUGGGUAGGGGCCCUGAGAGGGGGAUCCCCCACACUGGUACUGAGACACGGACCAGACUCCUACGGGAGGCAGCAGUGAGGAAUAUUGGACAAUGGGCGGGAGCCUGAUCCAGCCAUGCCGCGUGCAGGAAGACGGUCCUAUGGAUUGUAAACUGCUUUUGUACGGGAAGAACAAGGGGCACGUGUGCCCCUCUGACGGUACCGUAAGAAUAAGGAUCGGCUAACUCCGUGCCAGCAGCCGCGGUAAUACGGAGGAUCCGAGCGUUAUCCGGAAUCAUUGGGUUUAAAGGGUCCGUAGGCGGGCCAUUAAGUCAGGGGUGAAAGUCUGCGGCUCAACCGUAGAAUUGCCCUUGAUACUGGUGGUCUUGAGUUAUGGUGAAGUAACUAGAAUAUGUAGUGUAGCGGUGAAAUGCAUAGAUAUUACAUAGAAUACCGAUUGCGAAGGCAGGUUACUAACCAUAUACUGACGCUGAUGGACGAAAGCGUGGGGAGCGAACAGGAUUAG
rnacentral:rRNA from 1 species